rnacentral:rRNA from 1 species
GACAGAGGGGGCAAGCGUUGCUCGGAAUUACUGGGCGUAAAGGGCGCGUAGGCGGAAUGGCAAGUCGGUCGUGAAAUCCUUCGGCUCAACCGAAGAACGUCGAUCGAAACUGCCGUUCUUGAGGAUUGCAGAGGAGACUGGAAUUCCCGGUGUAGCGGUGAAGUGUGUAGAGAUCGGGAGGAACACCGGUGGCGAAGGCGGGUCUCUGGGCAAUUCCUGACGCUGAGGCGCGAAAGCGUGGGGAGCAAACGGG